GCGCCCCCUCCCGGCCGCCAUGUUGGCUGGUGUGUGGGUGUCAAACUGAGCCAGACGCGGCGGUGGCGGCGGCUCCGCGGGCUACGGUCGCUCCCGCCUCUCGAGCGCUGCCGGUGGCCGCAGCGGCGCACCCACGCCGGCCCGGAGGAGCAGAGGGUCUCACUCUAUCGCCCAGGCUGGAGUGCAGUGGCGCAAUCUUGGCUCACUACAACCUCCACCUCUCGGGCUCAAGCAGUUCUCGUGCCUCAGCCUCCUGAGUAAGCUGGGAUUACAGGCAUGCAGGGAUUAACAGGACUUCUGUUUACAAUGGAAAUCUGAAAUGGAAGAAACAUCUUUAACCUUGUGUGUCUGUGAUCUCCUCUGUCUUAAUCCACGCUCAGGCUAAAGAUGGGGAUAAUGUGGAAAUGGCAGUUGUCCCGAGGGCGUGGGGUGGGGGGUGCUUCUGUGCCCACGGGUCCCUGGGCAACAGUCCCUAGGCUAAGACAGGGGUGGGGGGCUAAGGGACCAGGGCUGGCCCUGAUCCACCUACCUGCUAACUCCAGAUAUUAUUUUUAAGUUGGAGACCUAAAAAUAAUUCUCUUGUAUUUUGGAGAUGAAGAAAAAAGUCAUUCACCUGGGAGGGAUUUUUAACAAACAUGCACUAAUAUUACCUCCCUCUUCCAAACUCCUACUGUCCUCACCUCACCCACCACUGUAAAAGUAUUACGUCGUGCAUUAAAGACCAGAAAAGACUUGCUUUUACCCAGGGAGGGGACAUUCCCCCAAUCCUGUGUCUGGGCAGCUUGCCUGGUGGAUGUUUCUGGCCCUUUUUCCACCAUGGGAAUUUCUCACCUCUAGCUCUAAGGGCAGCUGACCACCUGCCAGCCCCUCUCUGGUUCCAGAAGAUUACCCUUCGCACCGGCACAGGAGAGAUCUUAAAUGGUCUCUGGGCUGCUGGGACAUGCAGGCUCUGAGUGGGGACUGCACCCACUCAUGCUGUUCCUGAGGCCGCCCUCUCCAGUCCCAGGAGCCGUGUCUAGAGUUCCUGACCAGCCACCUUCUGCCAGAACUGCAGGCCUGCGGCUGGGUCUUAGGCUCCCGCUGCCAUUUGGGUAAGCCGGUGGCUGGUCUCGUCUGCCGGGGGAAGGGUGGGGAGGUGCAAUGGGAUGGGAGGCAGGAUGCUUGCCCAGAAAGGUGCUUUCCUUCAGACGGUGCAGGGCCUGGGCCAGCCUUACAGGUCAGUAGACUAGACUCGACUACUUGGGGUCAGUGAUUCUUUUGUAACGAGUCUUUCAUGAUGUGACUUUGAGGCCCCAACAUGACAGCCACUGGGCCACCGGGACCCAAGAAGACAGCCCCCUGCCCCAUCUUCUGGCACAGGCCAUCCCGAGUGCAUGUCCCUGUUGCCCACUGCACUGAUCAUGAAGCCACCGGCCACUGCCACGCAUGUUGCACCUGUGCCAUCGUGCUCCCUCCUGAUGGGCACCGUGGUGGAGGAAGUCACCCAGCUGUUUCUCAGUCCCAGAGGCCGGUGGCUGGUUUUGAACUUGUGUUGACUGUUGAUACUUAUUUACUGUAUAAAUAUAAUUUAUCAUUUGUACCAUG
rnacentral:lncRNA from 10 species